ACCCUACGAGGCUUUGGGAAUCUUCACAAUUGUGCUAUGGCUAACGCAUCACCUCUGUCAGCUGAAUUGCUUUCAAGCAGAUCCUCCUCCUCUCCCAUAAUUCCAGAUUUCAAGUUUUCCCAGCCUCCAACAAUGUCAGGGUGGCAAGGAAAGGACUUUGGAGUCAGAAAGACUCCAUGUUCGGGACCUGCUACUUCCUAACCAUGUCAUCGUGGGGACCAAAUAUAGACCAUGACAAUAGAGCAGCAUCAGAUAUGGUGAAAAUCAUAAUGCUGGUCUCCUUACAAAAUCAUGAUACUGAAACAGAAGAGGCAAACAAGGUAACACGCAGCACUAAGUGAAGUCAAUUUUGUGAAAGCCGUGAAUUGAAGUCACAUGCGAGACCCCAGGAGCGACCAGCAGAAGAACCACCUGCCUGAUCCCAACCCAAAUUGCUGACCUGUAGAACUGUGGGCCAUUUCAUAGUUUUGUGUUUCAAAACCAUAAAAAACCAAAAGUGAUGGUUUUCUCUGCAGUGAUAGAUAAGUACUACAGAAAUCUUUGGAGUUUCAAAUAAGGUGUGAAAUAAAAUUUUUAUCGUUUAAA